UACGUGCGUGAGGGAUAGCAGUGGAAAUCCUUUUUUAUCAUGAAACGAUAGUGGAAUGAAAAAAAGAUUGCAACGGAUAGCCCGACCACGC
rnacentral:sRNA from 1 species